ACUGUCACCAGUGUCAUCGUCAGCUGGUAUGGGCUAUUAUGAUAUUAAAAAUAUCUUAAAAUAAAGUUUCUUGAACGUAGAAUAGUCGACCUCGUAGCAUUUUUUACAAAAAUCUUACUAUAAGCUAAUAAAUUAAUAAGUUUUCAUGGUAUUUCUAAGCAAAAUGUUGAAAGGAUUGAUCAUUUUUGGAACGGGUGUGUACACAGGUGUUUACAUAGCACAAAAUUAUCAGAUCGAUAAAGUCGAAGACCCCAAAGUAUUAUUUGGAAAAGCACAAGCCUUCAUAAAGGCUAAACUAGAUGAAAUGAAUGAAGGCAACAAAAAUGGAAAGGAUUGAAAUGGAUAUACCAAGACAUUUAUUAAAUUUUAUUUAUUGUAAAUAAUAUUGUAAUGAUUUUAAAUAAAGGAAAGUAGGAAUAUAACAGAA